rnacentral:rRNA from 1 species
UACGGAGGGUGCGAGCGUUGUCCGGAAUCACUGGGCGUAAAGGGCGCGUAGGCGGUCUGGUAAGCGUGUGGUGAAAGCUCGGGGCUCAACCCCGAGUCGGCCAUGCGAACUGCUGGACUUGAGCACUGUAGAGGCAGACGGAAUUCCGGGUGUAGCGGUGGAAUGCGUAGAGAUCCGGAAGAACACCGGUGGCGAAGGCGGUCUGCUGGGCAGUUGCUGACGCUGAGGCGCGACAGCGUGGGGAGCAAACAGGAUUAGAAACCCGUGUAGUCC